GAUAAACGCUGGCGGCGUGCCUAAUACAUGCAAGUCGAACGCUGGAACCAAGCUUGCUUGGUGAAGGAGUGGCGAACGGGUGAGUAAUACAUAAGCAACCUGCCUACAAGGACUGGGAUAAUCUCUGGAAACGGGGACUAAUACCGGAUAGGUAAUCUUAAGGCAUCUUGGGAUUAUUAAAGUUUGAAACACAAGUAGAUGGGCUUAUGGCGCAUUAGCUGGUUGGUGAGGUAACGGCCCACCAAGGCGAUGAUGCGUAGCCGGCCUGAGAGGGUGAACGGCCACAUUGGGACUGAGACACGGCCCAGACUCC
rnacentral:rRNA from 1 species